rnacentral:rRNA from 1 species
CCUACGGGUGGCAGCAGUGGGGAAUAUUGCACAAUGGGGGAAACUCUGAUGCAGCGACGCCGCGUGAGUGAAGAAGUAAUUCGGUAUGUAAAGCUCUAUCAGCAGGGAAGAAAAUGACGGUACCUGAGUAAGAAGCCCCGGCUAACUACGUGCCAGCAGCCGCGGUAAUACGUAGGGGGCACGCGUUAUCCGGAUUUACUGGGUGUAAAGGGAGCGUAGACGGCAGUGCAAGUCUGGAGUGAAAGGCGGUGGCUCAACCCUCGGACUGCACUGGAAACUGUACGGCUGGAGUGCAGGAGAGGUAAGCGGAAUUCCUGGUGUAGCGGUGAAAUGCGUAGAUAUUAGGAAGAACACCGGUGGCGAAGGCGACUGACUGGACUGUAACUGACGUUGAGGCUCGAAAGCGUGGGGAGCAAACAGGAUUAGAUACCCUUGUAGUC